rnacentral:rRNA from 1 species
GACGAACGCUGGCGGCGUGCUUAACACAUGCAAGUCGAACGGAAAGGCCCUGCUUGCAGGGUACUCGAGUGGCGAACGGGUGAGUAACACGUGGGUGAUCUGCCCUGCACUUCGGGAUAAGCCUGGGAAACUGGGUCUAAUACCGGAGAGGAGCCAUUUUGAGUGUGAUGGUUGGAAAGUUUUUUCGGUGUAGGGUGAGCUCGCGGCCUAUCAGCUUGUUGGUGGGGUAAUGGGCUACCAAGGCGGCGACGGGUAGCCGGCCUGGGAGGGUGGACGGCCACAUUGGGGAUGAGGUAAGGCCCAGACUCCUACGGGAGGCAGGAGUGGGGAAUAUUGCCAAAUGGGCGCAAGCCUGAUGCAGCGACGCCGCGUGGGGGAUGACGGGCUUCGGGUUGUAAACUCCUUUCGCUAGGGACGAAGCUGUUUGUGACGGUACCUAGAUAAGAAGCACCGGCUAACUACGUG